AGAGUUUGAUCAUGGCUCAGAUUGAACGCUGGCGGCAGGCCUAACACAUGCAAGUCGAGCGGAAACGAGUUAUCUGAACCUUCGGGGAACGAUAACGGCGUCGAGCGGCGGACGGGUGAGUAAUGCCUAGGAAAUUGCCCUGAUGUGGGGGAUAACCAUUGGAAACGAUGGCUAAUACCGCAUAAUACCUACGGGUCAAAGAGGGGGACCUUCGGGCCUCUCGCGUCAGGAUGUGCCUAGGUGGGAUUAGCUAGUUGGUGAGGUAAUGGCUCACCAAGGCGACGAUCCCUAGCUGGUCUGAGAGGAUGAUCAGCCACACUGGAACUGAGACACGGUCCAGACUCCUACGGGAGGCAGCAGUGGGGAAUAUUGCACAAUGGGCGCAAGCCUGAUGCGGCCAUGCCGCGUGUGUGAAGAAGGCCUUCGGGUUGUAAAGCACUUUCAGUCGUGAGGAAGGUAGUGUAGUUAAUAGCUGCAUUAUUUGACGUUAGCGACAGAAGAAGCACCGGCUAACUCCGUGCCAGCAGCCGCGGUAAU
rnacentral:rRNA from 1 species